rnacentral:rRNA from 1 species
GCUCUUUUGGGUCUUGUAAUUGGAAUGAGUACAAUUUAAAUCCCUUAACGAGGAACAAUUGGAGGGCAAGUCUGGUGCCAGCAGCCGCGGUAAUUCCAGCUCCAAUAGCGUAUAUUAAAGUUGUUGCAGUUAAAAAGCUCGUAGUUGAACCUUGGGUCUUGUUAGCGGGUGCCUCCCAACGGGGGUUACCAUCGACAGGCAGGGCCUUUCUCCUUGAGUAGUCCGGCGUGCCCUUCGCUGGGUGUGCCGGGCAAUCGGGACUUUUACUUUGAAAAAAUUAGAGUGUUCAAAGCAGGCAUAUGCUCGGAUACAUUAGCAUGGAAUAAUAGAAUAGGACGUUUCGGCUUAUUUUGUUGGUAUUGACGGCCGGCCGUAAUGAUUAAUAGGGAUAGUCGGGGGCAUCAGUAUUCAAUUGUCAGAGGUGAAAUUCUUGGAUUUAUUGAAGACUAACUACUGCGAAAGCAUUUGCCAAGGAUGUUUUCAUUAAUCAGUGAACGAAAGUUAGGGGAUCGAAGACGAUCAGAUACCGUCGUAGUCUUAACCAUAAACUAUGCCGACUAGGGAUCGGGCGAUGUUGUUAUACGGACUCGCUCGGCACCUUACGAGAAAUCAAAGUCUUUGGGUUCUGGGGGGGGUAUGGUCGCAAGGCUGAAACUUAAAGGAAUUGACGGAAGGGCACCACCAGGAGUGGAGCCUGCGGCUUAAUUUGACACAACACGGGGAAACUCACCAGGUCCAGACACAUUAAGGAUUGACAGAUUGAGAGCUCUUUCUUGAUCAUGUGGGUGGUGGUGCAUGGCCGUUCUUAGUUGGUGGAGUGAUUUGUCUGCUUAAUUGCGAUAACGAACGAGACCUUAACCUGCUAAAUAGCCAGGCCCGCAUCAGGCGGGUCGCCUGGCUUCUUAGAGGGACUAUCGGCUCAAGCCGAUGGAAGUUUGAGGCAAUAACAGGUCUGUGAUGCCCUUAGAUGUUCUGGGCCGCACGCGCGCUACACUGACAGAGCCAACGAGUACAUCACCUUGGCCGGAAGGCUUGGGUAAUCUUGUUAAACUCUGUCGUGCUGGGGAUAGAGCAUUGCAAUUAUUGCUCUUCAACGAGGAAUUCCUAGUAAGCGCAAGUCAUCAGCUUGCGUUGAUUACGUCCCUGCCCUUUGUACACACCGCCCGUCGCUACUACCGAUUGAAUGGCUCAGUGAGGCCUUCGGAGCGCCCGAU